GAUCAGUUGUGCUGGUCGAGCUGACAACAUGAACCGUGUCGAGAACUACAUCCACAUAUUUUAACGAUUAACAGUGAUGAGUUCUUAUCAAUAGUCUAUUAUUAUUGAUUUCGUGUUCGAUAAAAGUUUUGGCGCAACUGAAGGUAUCGCUUCCUGUUUUGAGAUAACCAUGGAGCAGCAACCCGAAGAGGAGCAAGGCGAGAGCCAAACUACUGUAGGAGCUGAAGAGAAUAAUUAUGAAGAUGAAGAAGGGGCCGAAAGUGAAGAAGGGGAGGAGGAUGUGGACGAAGAUGAUGAAGACGACGAUGAUGAUGAAGAGGA